rnacentral:rRNA from 1 species
UGGGGAAUCUUGGACAAUGGGGGCAACCCUGAUCCAGCGACGCCUCGUGGGUGGUAAGGCCUUCGGGUUGUAAACCUCUUUUCUCAAGGAAGAAGCACUGACGGUACUUGAGGAAUCAGCAUCGGCUAACUCCGUGCCAGCAGCCGCGGUAAUACGGAGGAUGCAAGCGUUAUUCGGAAUUAUUGGGCGUAAAGCGUCCGCAGGUGGUGCCUCAAGUCUGCUGUCAAAGACCGAAGCUCAACUUCGGGCAGGCAGUGGAAACUGAAGCACUAGAGUACGGUAGGGGUAGAGGGAAUUUCCAGUGUAGCGGUGAAAUGCGUAGAGAUUGGAAAGAACACCAGUGGCGAAGGCGCUCUACUGGACCGUAACUGACACUCAGGGACGAAAGCUAGGGGAGCGAAAGGGAUUAGAUACCCCCGUAGUCC